GUAAAAAUGGCUGCUUGCUGCUGUAGCUCCUGACUUGUGUGGUUUUUAAUGAAGAUGUUCUUAAUGAGGAACAAAAUUUUCCUUCUGUAGGGAUUUCCUUGGUUUUGGGAGGAGAAGGACAGCAGAUGUCAGAAGACGCAGCCAACCCUGCCCAAUCACAGAGAAAGAAUUUGUCCGUUCCACACUUCAAAUAAAAACAAGCAUAAGUGAAAUGGGUUUGAAAGGACUUUUAAGAAAGCAACUCUAGCCCUCAGCUCCAGGUUCUGGCUUAUGUGACAAUGGGAGCUCUGGAAUCAGAAAAGCUCUGCUUGAAUAUGACAUUUGUCCUUUCAUUAUCUUAAAUGGUGACUGUAAAUCUCUGUGUAUAUCAUAGGGCAGUGUCAUUUAAAAUUCAAAUAACAGAAUUCUGCUGAGUGCGAUAGUGUAACAUGCUAAUACUAUGUGAGCUCAGGAAAAGAUUUUUCUCCUGUUGAUUUAAGUGUCAGCUUUCUCAGUCUGAGACACAAUAGCAUCAUGAGAUAAUCUAAUUUUGCCUCAUGUGCAUCAGAGGUUAUUGUAUAUUAUAUUGUGUACCCUUGUAUUUUAUUCUGUUCACACUGAUAUUACUGAGCUCGUCCUCCAUGAAAGCGUCUGAUUCUAAUUUGAGGAUGUCACGAGAGGGGAAAAAAGAAGGGUGAGGUUUUGUGUGAUGGAGGAGUGAAGGUGUAGAAUAUCAUCCAAAGAAUAAUCAUUCAUAAAAUAUGUGAUGUAUUUUCAGGUUACAUUCAUUCUUUUUGAGUUACUUCCUAUAUUCUUCUUUGCUGCCAGAUUUACACGCUCUUCAGUGUUACUGAUUUUUUCCUUUGACAAACUGUUCGAAGUUCAGACAAAUUCUCAGUCAUUUCUUUCAUAAAUUUCCAUAUUUUCACAUUUUCCUAACGUUCUCAAAUUGUGUGUUUGUUCCAUUAAGUGUGAAUACCUGGCACAGGUUCAGUUGUUUGGCAUCUGUCUCAUCCUAUUGCACUGUAGUAGAAUAAGGAAAGACACUGUGGCUUUUCUUGCAGAAAAUAGGACAUUUUGCUAGUAAAUUUUUAGCAGGAGAACUACUUUUGUCAUCUAGUAAUCGUGUUACUGUUUUGUUUUCAGUGACAUUUUCUAUUGACACAAUCUCUUACUUUCACUAGGAAGUCUGUCAGUCCAUGUAACAAACUCUUAUCUAAAGUGAAAGAAGGAAGAGCUCUAAUUCUCAGACUAAUAGGAUAUAUUUCUAAGAAAUAUUCUACUACAGCCAUUACUAACUUGAUUUUCAGUGCAUCAUCCAGAGUGCAAACAAUAAGUGGUUUCAGAAGCUAUAUACCAAAUAACUUCUAGAAAGCAGGUGUAGAAUCUAGAUAAUCUCUGCAUAAAGCUUAAUCACCACUAUAUAUUACUGCAUUUUAAAGCACCAAUUUAAGAGUAAGAAUUGGGGUUCGAUGUAAAUUAAUGAUCAAUGUGAAAUUCAGUCAAGACUAAUGCUUAUCUUUAGCACUCUGCUGUCUCCUUUAAGUAUUUCAGCAAGUACUUCUUUGUACUGUCUGCACUGUUGUAACUGAAACAGCUGUUCUGGAGCAUAAGUGAAGUUGCUGCAUUUCAUUGUCUGAGGUAUGGAUGUUAAAUUUGCUGCCACUCACCACUGAUGGCAGGAGCAUUACUAAGCUUUCCUUUUUGUUACUGGUGCUAGAACAUACUGUUGAUCAUUUAAUUUCCUUUUCUAGUGUGCUUUCUGUAACAAAUUACUGUAUGUGGUAUUACCAUGCUGCUUGUGCCUACAGUAUGUAGAAGCUGCAUAUUCAAUUGUAAUACGCAGGACAGAGUAUGGGAAAAUAAAAAUAUGGAGCAGCAGCUUGAAGAGCAUUUGAAAACGCCAUGCAGAAUUCAGGGUUCCAACCUAGUUGUGCAUCACCAGCAAAGUGAGUCUCUGCAUAGCAAGCCUAAAUGUUCUUUCCAUCCAUCAGCAGAUGAAACUCUUCUAAUAGUGUUUUUUCUCAUGCACAGUAAUUAGUUAUUUUUCUGCCUUAGAUGGCAGUUAAGCUAAAUUUUUAUUGCUUCAUGUGCUCAUGGCUCAUUUAUUGUUUUAUUUUUUUUUCUCUGUUUGCUAGAUUUAUUACCUUUGCAUGAAAUAAUUCUUUUGAGAUAAUUGCUUACUUCCACAGAGGCUUCUUCAAUUUGAAGUUGUUCUGCAGUUUUGGUUCUUGUUACUCAUACACAAAAUGCCACUAGCAAUCCGCAUGGCUUCUGCCAAAAGGUACAGCUGUGAGAAUUAGAAGAAACUCAGCAUGAAGAAAACCAUCUAAUUUCAUAAGUUCUCACAUUUAUAACUUUUCUUCAAUAUUAAACUUCUGUGAAUACCAUUUCCUUUCAAGAGUAAAAAUUCCAGGUUGCUUGGGGUCCUCAGUCUGCAUUUUCAGGAGAGAUGCAGCAGGAUGUUCAGUGUUCUGAAGAGCUCAGCUCUCACGCAGACUUCUAGUUUGAUAUUUGGACAGAUUUUCAAAAAGUAAUGAAGCAAGUGCAGUUAGUCUCAUAACAUUUGGGUUAAGAUCACGCUUCAAGUCUCUCCUCUGAAGCUUCAGAGACAGGUUAGCAGUCAAAAACAAAGAUCCAUUUUGCAAAAUGGAACAAAAAACCCUCUCAACUUCUAUGUAAAAAUUGUAUAAUAAUAGGGUAAACAGUUCUUGUAUGCUUUCAUUGUACAAUCUGACCUCUUCUAGGAGGUGCUUAUGUUAGAAGCAUAGCUAUUAUAUAAGAGAGACACAAUUCUCUGUGGGGCGCUUUAAAAUUCAGACCAGCCUGCUUUUAUAAGCUAGCGUUGUCUUAGGCUUGGUUGGCAAAGAAUUCUGCUUGGUUUAUCUAUAAAUAAUUGAACUGCAAAUAAACCUGUUGUCACC
rnacentral:lncRNA from 7 species